GGUUGGUCUGAGUGCAGUGGUGCUUACAACUAAUUGGUUACAACCAAUUACAGAUUUAUUUGUUCAUUUUCCACUCCUACUGGCUUCAGUUGACUGGCCAAAA
rnacentral:Y_RNA from 1 species